AGUACCGAUCUUCUUUUGGGGUGUAGCUAUGUUUGGAUUGGCAAUUUUUGCAGCUGUUGUAGUUGCUUAUAGGCGACAAAGGCAAAGUAAGGAUGGGUACCAGUUUAUUGCAACUUAAGCAACCUUCCUGCCAUAUGUGUCAAUUAGAUGCUAUGUGACAUGACUCGUGUGGUAAAACUAUACGUUUUACAGACCUUAAUAUGUGAAAAAUAUAAUUAAGGAUAUGUUGCUCUAUAAUAAAACUUAGUUAAGAUUUGUCACUGUAUUCUCACGUUUAGAAGAAGGAAUGAUUUUGUAAUAUAUAUGGUUGGCAUGUCAAGUAUCACACAUAAAAGAGACAAUAUAAAUUAUAAUGUAUAAUAAAAUAUGGUUUGUUGCAUGUGGUGGACUAUAUAGUUUACCAUAUGUUUGUUUAUCUGAUAAUUAAAGUGUAUGUAUUUUUGGUUUAUGCUCUUUUAGAGAAGAUACUUAUAAUGUCAAAGGUUUAUGGGUUACGUUAUAAGUUUAUUUUCAAAUAAGAGACACAAGGUCCAAAUAAAUCAUUAUACAAGCUUAAAAGUUAAAACACAUCUUUAUGUGGUUUAUCGAAAAUUGUCACUUUAGUCCAAAAUGGUUUGGACUAGCAUCAGUGGUUCAAAAGUUUGAUUUUGUUGCGAGUUUGGUCUAAUUUACUUUGAAUUUUUUUUAAAAUACAAAUUUGCACUUUUUUAAUUUUAAUUUAUAUUUUUUAUUUUGUUAUAUUUCUGAUUUAAAUUAAACAAAAAAGGAAAAAAAAAUCUAUUUCCAGUCCUCCUUCCUGUAAACAACAACACCACCUCUCUCUCUCUCUCUCUCUCUCUCUCUCUCUCUCUCUCUCUCUCUCAUUGGAACACCUCCGAUCUCAACCCUCACCAGCAUGCUCUUUGUUUCUUCUCCGGCGAUGGAAACAGAUCUGCAAAUGAGGGUUUGCUUCAAGCUAGGUUUUGCUGAGGAACAAUCAAGUCGAAUGAGAAGAUGAAAGGCGUCGAGAGGCAAUAUGUUUGCUUUUGACGGUGGUAUCCUACAAACUGGCUUCCAAAUCUGGACGGAGGAGGAUCUGAAUCGUCGCCACCAGAUCUGUCGAUUCAGGCUUUGUAAGGAUGCAUUUCAGAUUCUCGGAGGUGGCUUCGUCUAGAAACCCUCAAGAUCGACGACGUUACAGAUCUGUAAAUGUCGCUCUCUUCACAAAUCGAUGAUAGCUUUGUCUGCAAAUUUGAGCCACAAACGUCGCCUCCGUCUCUCGCUCCUUCUCCAGCGAGUCUCGUCUCUGUCAAUUUGACGACCAGUUAGGGUUUUAAGAUCCGACAAGUUAGGGUUUCAGAUCGCCGACGUCCUUCUUCUUCACUGAAAACCCUAACCCAUAUGAGAUAUGGCAGCGCUAGGGUUUCAGAAGUUGGUGAUGGUUUUUGACAAAAAUCGAGGUUAUGGAUAUGGUUUCCGGUGGAGAAGACGAACCAAGAAACUGACAAAAGGGUCUCUGGUGGUGGGAAUUGAUUAGGAUUUGUUGUAGGUGAUGGAAACUUUUCAUAUUUGUUGGAGGUUGCUGGUGACAGAGACGAUGGGGGUUGAAGGUGGGGCUGAAGGCGAUGGUGCCAACGACGAAGAUGGUGGUGGCAUCGACAAUAAUUUUGGAUGACGGUGGUUUCUGUCGGUGACACUAGUUUCCGGCGAUGGCAUCGGUUUCUGGGCUUUAUGAACUAUUCUUGAGAGACAUGAAGAACAAACAAAGAGGGAAGGAGAAAUAUUGGGGAAGGAGAGAGAGAGAGAGAGAGAGAGAGAGAGAUUUAUAUUUUAUUUUCUUGUUUUUUAGAGAGAGAUAGACAGAUUUAUUUUUAUUUUUAUUUUAUUGUUUUUUUUUAAAUCUGAAAAUCAGAAAAACAAAUAAGAAGAAAGAUAAAAUAUAUUAAUAGGGGCAGAUCCGUCAUUUUGAAAAAAAAUCAGAACAAAUUGGACUAAAGACGCAACAAAAUGAAAGUUUUGGACCACUGGUGCUAGUUCAAACCUUUUUGGACCAAAGUGACAAUUUUCGACAUACCACAAGGACCAUUUGUGCAGUUUUGUCGUUUCUAAAUAACAAAUCAGAUAGACCAACCCGGGGAGAAGCCCAGGUCCCUUUCUAUUUUUUCCAAGAAGUAUAAAAUGCAAAGGGUAUAAUUUUGAUUUUUUAUAUAUGCAUUCUCGUGUUUUGCCACUUUGCACGCAACAAAUUUCAAAGCAGCAUACCCUCUGGAAAAACCCCGCUCCUCAAAACGACGAGAAGAGAGACCCAAGUAAGAUCCACACAAGCAUGCUUCCCUCCUACCCAUCCAAAUACCAAAAUGUCAGCCAGUCUGAGUGUCGAUCUUCCAUCCUGGGGGUCCGUCAAAAAGUUCACUGACGCUUCUUUCUUCACGCAAAUACUAGCACGCUGACAAGCAUCAAAGGGAACAUCCCUAACCACAACAUGUCGGUACUUGAAACCAAGGAGCUCACUACAAUGAACCGCAUGUUCCUCAAAAGUGUCCAAACAUGCAUUGCGGAAAACUGGUCAUAUCUCGUCAAUUGGAAAUAGAUUAUUUGUUCAAUUUCAUUAAAAGCCUAGUAUAUUAUGAUUUCUAGUACAUGCAUAUAUCUGGACGUGGUCAUUAACUUUGUAACACCCAAAAAUUUCAAACAAAUUUAAACUUUUAAAAACAUUUUAAUUCGAUAAGUCAUUACAUAGUUGGUUUUCAAAAUACAAUUAUCAGAGUAUCCCAGUAUCAAAUCAUAAAAGUCAUAAUAGCAAGAGGAUCGGUACGAUCAUGACUUCGCCUUCCCGCGAUCACAAGAGGUACCUGAAACAACAACUGAAACUGUAAGCCUGAAAGCUUAGUGAGCUAUCCCCCAAAAUACCAACCACAUAACCAUGCCAUAUAAACUUAUAACCAAACAGCAAGCAUAAUGAGCCUUCAGCCUGAAUGGACCGCCUCGCAGGCCUUCAGUCUAUCUGGACCGCUCUCUGAGCCUUCGACACGUCUGGACCGCCUCGCGGGGCCUUCAACCUAUCCGGACCGCUCGUCGGGCCUUCGGUCUGACUAUCAUACCCUCUUGGGUUUUGUAGUCUAUCUGGACCGCCUCAACCCAACACCCAAAUCAAACAACAUGUGCAUAUACAUUCAUAGGCUAUCAUAAUAACAGACAAACCGAUCUAACAGAUCAAAUAGCAUAGCAACGUCCUAAACCAGGACACCGACCUACCCAGAUCAUAUCAUAGCAUAAUCCUUUAACUAGGAUAUCGACCGAACCCGAUCACUAAGCAUAAGUAUAUCACCAUCCUUACUAGCAGGAUGCGAAACAAUGUACAUAUUAUGUAAUAAUCCAAAUACAAAUCCCUAAGGGCCGGCCUUGGUGCCUUAGACCCUGUUGAUAUAGUGAGGAUAACUCACCUUGCAACUGACGUCUGAAACUAGAAAGCUCAACUCCCGGGUCACCAACACGAACUCCACGACCUAUAGUUACCAUGAAACCCUUUUCCAUAAAUCUUUGAAUUUCCAGAAUACCCUUAGAAGUCAACUGGUCAACCCUUGGUCCAAGUCAAAUUCCACAGUCAAAGUCAACAGUCCAUGUUGACUCGACUCGUCGAGUGCAGUUCACCGACACGUCGAGUCCUUCCUGAAUUUGAGAAGUCGUGAAAUCCUUGAUUGGCUCGUCGAGUUCCCCUUUAACUCGCCGAGUUCAUACGUGUCCAAGGAUUGGGAGAAACCCUAGCCGACUCGCCGAGUCUUCGAACGACUCGCCGAGUUCAAGGCAAUCUUCAACGGACUCGCCGAGUUGUUCAUCAACUCGUCGAGUUCAUGACCAUCUUCAACGGGCUCGCCGAGUUAUUCAUCCAACUCAUCGAGUCCUUGCAGACCUUUAUCCAUGCAGACGCUUUUUAAGCCAUGACAAGGUUCCAGAUUACAAAUCCAAGCUUCUUAGGCAUGUUUAUCACGUAAAGUUGCAAACUUUACGCACAUGCAAGGCUCUAAAGGCCCUAAAUGACCAAUCUAAGCUUCCAAUGGAGCUUUACACCUUGGGAGAGUCUCAUCCUUGCAGAAGCUGGAAACUUUAUGGACUAAGAAACCCAAGGGAGCUUAGUUCUGAAGUUACAACUUCAGAUCUUAGCUUGCACACAAGAAUAGCUUCCAAUCAUAUCAUGAAAACCCUAGGAUUUGUCCAAAGAGGGGAUCUAGAAUGAAAUGAGGUCAGGGUAACGAUUUAUACCUUCUAAAAGAUGCCCAAUAAGGUAGAUUUCAGAUCCCACAAGCUCCUUGCUUCUGAAUACUUGCUCUCCAAGCUCCAUUCUCCACAAAAUCUUCUUCCAAUCUCAAAAAUACACAAAUGGAACACACACACUCGAUUAGGGUUUGAGAAGGACAAGAAACAGUAAAGGGGAGGUUGGGGGAGGCUAAUGAUCCUUUAAAUAAGGUGCAAAACCCCGAGAUUUAGGGUUUCAUCUGCCAGCUCCUACUCGUCGAGUCCCUUCUUGGACUCGGCGAGCAGGUCAUUAAAAUACGUGGACCAACCCGCUGCUACUCGACGAGUAGGGCAAUCAACUCAUCGAGUAGCCCUUGAAAUCAAGAAACUCACACAUUAAAUCAAUACCUAAGAAAUUGGGCGUUACAAACUUCUUUCAUAAUGUUAUCCAUUAUCAGUUGUAACAUCCCGUUUAAAAUAAUCUAAUUAAAUAAUAAACUCGAAGCUCCGAGAAGUAAAUUUUAUUAUUAUUUUUUGCAUAUGAUUAUUGGAUAUUUGUAAAAGCUAAAUGCUUUGUUUGGAAACCGGUUUUAGUCACACUUUUUUUUACUUUCCAUGUAGUCGGUAUAGCACGUAAAUACCUUACAUAUUGUCACCGAUUGCAUAUAUAGUUCUUCAAAGUAUCAUAACAUAAAUUUGAAAACAUACCUAGUAAUUAAAGGAGAUUACAUAUAGCAUUCUGAGAGAUUAUUAGAAUAUCUAGAAGUCUUAACAUGAAAUGGAUCAAUCGAUGCUAAUAUUAAAAAGCCAGUUACACUUAUACGAUCAUGUUCUUUAGCCUACAAAAGCAUUCAUGUUUUUAGCCGUAUGCAACACUUUUCUUAUGUUUUAUGCAUAUGAUAUGUUUUUUUUUUUUUCUUUUUUUUUUUUUUUUUUUUUUUUUUUUUUUUUUUUUUUUUGUAGUUGGAGCAUUUAUAGUAAACUUUCUUGGGUGUGAUUUUCAGAUUCAUCAAGAAUCAAAAGUCGAUCUUCUUUUGGGGUGUAGCUAUGUUUGGAUUGGCAAUUUUUGCAGCUGUUGUAGUUGCUUAUAGGCGACAAAGGCAAAGUAAGGAUGGGUACCAGUUUAUUGCAACUUAAGCAACCUUUCUGCCAUAUGUGACAAUUAGAUGCUAUGUGACAUGAAUCGUGUGGUAAAACUAUACGUUUUACAGACCUUAAUAUGUGAAAAAUAUAAGGAUAUGUUGCUAUAUAAUAAAACUUAGCUAAGAUUUGUCACUGUAUUCUCACGUUUAGAAGAAGGAAUGAUUUUGUAAUAUAUAUGGUUGGCAUGUCAAGUAUCACACAUAAAAGAG
rnacentral:lncRNA from 1 species